rnacentral:tRNA from 1 species
AGCCGUGGCCUACUGGUUAGCGCUUCGGACUUGUAACCGGAGGGUUGCCAGUUCGAACCCUGACCACGGCUG